AGGAAUCUACUUUGAGACCAACUCUGCACACUCCUUGCAACGUUUCCCCAGAACCAAUCUUUGUGAACCUGUGCAUUUUUUGCAGAACAACAAAUUUCAUUUCACCUUUGGGAGCAAAAUGUUUCUUCCUGAGGAUUUAUAUGCCUAUAUGUUCUGUGAAGCGCCUGCACGGAGAUAAGGCGGAUGUGAAGGUUUGAAGCAAUGCGCUAGUCGCCGGCAUUAGCAUUCACAACACCAGACUUCAUGUCUUAGAGUGAAACUCCAGAGGAGCGGCUGAAUUGAUCCGCGCUGUGACUUUCUCUGUUUCUUUCUUGACUUUACAGCAAAGGUAGCAGUUUUUGCUACUAAUUAAACUUACAGUGCAGAGAGCAGCUCAAAAGUUAGCCGAGCCGAGAGAAGACGAGGACGGUGAGGGAUGGUCAACGCCAACACUUAAUUUCAUGCAUCGCGGCUCCCUUCAAUAACGGAGCAGGCCGUAUGGAUUAGCGCCAUCCACUUCUGUCAAAAUUUACCUUGAAGGGACCCGCCAGCGAAUCCUGAUAACCAAACUUGAUAAUCCACACAAAGCCUUCGACUCGCAGUAUUCAUGUUAAUGAACUAUCAUUGUCUGCUCUGUGUGAUGGAUUUAAUUACCUCCAGAUGACCUAAUGUUGGAAAUAUGAUAGUGCUCAUUAUCUAAAUAUAAAGAUGGAGAAAAUAGCUCCGCCAUGAAAGCAUCUCUCUGACUAAUUGGAGAUUUUCCCCCAAAUGGAGCCUCACCGCUGAGACACUGUCCAUAUGUUCGGAUACGGAGUGGAAUUCUCCGGAGAGAGUCUCGCUGCUAACUAAAUUAGCCUGAAAUUCAAAUCACUGCCUGUUGAGUUGUGAAGGACAGUCAAAGCUCGACUACAUGAAGUCAGCACAUGCAGAUAAUGCAAGAUUGUCUUUGCCCUCGCUGAAACGAG
rnacentral:lncRNA from 1 species